AAGGAUCAUUACAUUUAGUAGCUUGCUACUGCUAAGAGGGUCUGUUAGGCUGUAUAGUAUUGCUACUAACGAGCAGCAUGAUCCUCUAAGUCAACCCUUGUCUUUUGCGUACCUACGUUUCCUCAGCGGGUAUAACCCGCUGGCUGGACAAAAUUAAAACCCUUGAAUAUUCAAUCAGUGUCUAAGAAACUUAAUAAUUACAACUUUCAACAACAGAUCUCUUGGUUCUGGCAUCAAUGAAGAACGCAGCGAAAUGCGAUAAGUAGUGUGAAUUGCAGAAUUCAGUGAAUCAUCGAAUCUUUGAACGCACAUUGCGCCCCUUGGUAUUCCAUAGGGCAUGCCUGUUCGAGCGUCAUUUGUACCCUUAAGCUCUGCUUGGUGUUGGGUGUUUGUCUAUGCUUUUGCUUGGACUUACCUCAAAGCAAUUGGCAGCUAGUGUUUUGGCAUAGAAGCGCAGCACAUCUUGCACUUCCAGUCUUAAACACCAGCUUCCAGUAAGUCCCUUUACGUUUGACCUCGGAUCAGGUAGGGAUACCCGCUGAACUUAAGCAUAUCAAUAAGCGGAGGAAAAGAAACCAACAGGGAUUGCCUUAGUAACGGCGAGUGAAGCGGCAACAGCUCAAAUUUGAAAUCUGGCUCUCUUAGGGCCCGAGUUGUAAUUUGCAGAGGGCGCUUUGGUGUCGGCAGCGGUCCAAGUUCCUUGGAACAGGACGUCACAGAGGGUGAGAAUCCCGUACGUGGUCGCUAGCCUUUGCCGUGUAAAGCCCCUUCGACAAGUCGAGUUGUUUGGGAAUGCAGCUCUAAAUGGGAGGUAAAUUUCUUCUAAAGCUAAAUACUGGCCAGAGACCGAUAGCGCACAAGUAGAGUGAUCGAAAGAUGAAAAGCACUUUGGAAAGAGAGUCAAAUAGCACGUGAAAUUGUUGAAAGAGAAGCGCUUGCAGCCAGACUUGCCUGUAGUAGUUUAUCUAGACUUUUGUCUAGUGCACUCUUCUGCAGGCAGGCCAGCAUCAGUCUAGGCGAUUGGAUAAAGGUCUCUAUCACGUACCUCUCUUUGGGGAGGCCUUAUAGGGGAGACGUCAUGCAACCAGUCUGGACUGAGGUCUGCGCAUCUGCUAGGAUGCUGGCGUAAUGGCUGUAAGCGGCC
rnacentral:rRNA from 1 species